UCAGUGUUGCCAGAUGGGUUUUGCGUUCCGUUACGUGCACCUCUUAAAAAUACAACGCAAAUUCAAGUUGAGUACGCAGUAUAAAAUUUACGGUGCGUUCCUAAAUAAUAUUAAUCGGAAAACCACCGAAUUUUAUCGCUACUAUAAAAAUGUUGAAAAUAGAACUUCACAUAUUUCGAUAAAAUAUUUCUUGUUUAAGGAGACUCAAUUCAAUGCAAAUUUGCCAACGGUGGCGUUUCGAAAUGUAAUACCGUCGCGGCGUCUGUCAUACUUCGGUCUACUUAAACACGCUGCACGCUGCUGCGACGCGUCAGGGCCUACCGCGAACCACGUUCGACGUGUUGCCUCUCUGUCGCACUUAUAAAUUCGUACGUAAGUAUGACAGGGAGGCAACACGUCGAACGUGGUUCACGGUAGGCCCUCUGUUCUGUGAUUGUUAGGCAAACACAAACAUUUUUUUUUACAACGGACGCCCACGAGUAUUCCUCUGCGUUGAAGUCAUUGUUGAAGUUUGAAAACUCAUAAAGUUUUGUUUUGUGAGUGAAACCGUGAAUAAUACUAAAUAAAAAUGUGUGACAGUGAUCACAGUGAUGAAAAUAUGUUGCCCACUACUCCUCAGGAAAUAUUAAAGCCUUUUCCGUUUAUGUUGUUCCGUUGUUUGCUAUUUUGACAACUUGAAAAGUUUUAUCGGCAGUUUGCGUGUUAUUACUGUGAAGUGUUUGGCCAAACCGCCGCUACCACUUUUGAAAGGAUGCCACCCAAAAAUCCAAAAAUUCGCUCGAACGCAGCACAAAUUAGAUUGCUCGUUGAAUACAUGUCACAGCACACCCGGUUCGCCAACCGGGAAUUUGACGGGCCUCUAAGGACCCCAGAGGUACGAGGCGCAAUGGGAGGCCCUUGCACAGGCCUUAAGGGAGCACGGGCCCAAUAAGUCAGUGCAGGCAUGGAAAGUGUAUCGGCAUAUAAUAACAAGUCAGAAAAUUUGAAACGAGUGGCGAUAAAUUAAAACACGACUGAAGGGAGUGUUUUAAAUUGACACGAGUUGCGAAUUACCUAUUCGCACAUGUAUCGUACAACGUUUUACAGUACAUAAGGUACCCUUUAAAUGUUUGACACAGUAACGUAAUAUGGUAAUUUUCGCACUAGUGCGGUAAAGUAGUACCAUAUGUACAGUCAGCGUCAAAUACUUCGUAGUACACCAUACUAAAUAUAUGGUGUACCGAACUAUUUGGCUACUUUGGUUGCUACAAAGUAUUUGACGCUGACUGUACUGUAAAAGCUGUUUUAAUACUAUUAAUAAGUAUAGUUAGUGUAUUAAUUUUGCCAUAAUCGCAUGCAGUUAUGACUAUGGGUAUAAAUAUUGUUGAAUUUAUAUAGCCGAGUCCACACAGAGCGACCGAGGAGGCGCGUGCGUUUUCCUUGCCCGAGCGCACGUCUACACUGGCCAGUUUGUGCGUGAGAAUAUUGCCUCACGCGUAUGCUCGCUCUGUGUGGACCCGGCUAAUCAUGUAUAAAUGACAACAGAUUUUAUUCUCUAGGUGGGCACCUGCUCCCCGCUGGCGACACCCUUGCAGAAGCUAGCAUUUUCAGAUAUAUUUACUUUUUAAGUUUUUGGUUUGGUUUAACCGGAAUUAUUUUUACCCGACUAUGAGAAUGGGAAGGGUUAUGAUUUUAGCAGUCUACGUAUGGAUGCCGUAUAUAUGCCGGUAUGUUUUUGUUGUGUAUAAAUUACUAAUCAAUUUUGGUGAAUGAGGUGUUUAUAGGUUCAUUUUUAUGGGGUGACAUAGACUACAUAAUAAUAUUUAACUGACUUUGGACAAGGAAGAGGUGCUAUAGUUAAGAAAAAAAUCAUAGUCGGGUAAAAGUUUUUACAAUCUUUUGCUUGUUUUCAUUCUUAUAACAAAUAUUUUAAACUUGCAUGUGCUCAUUGCCUCAGAUUGACGACUACGUUGAGUUUUCGGGUGCUGGGAACAGUGUGGCUGGCAGCACGUUUUCUGCCACUGCUGAAAAUCUCGUUGUUGUUCCAACAACCGCCACCGUUACUGCGGCCUUGCUCAGCGAACAACCCCACUUCUCCACCUCUCAUUUGUCCUCGUCUCCCUCUCCUUCUGCCAGCCCUAUACGCUCCACGCAUUCAGUACUGCCCACAAGUCCUGGACUACCCGAACGUCCCUCUCUUGCCGCCCUUUCCGCCCGCUAUGCCCGUCCCGCCCUUCUCGCUCGUUCCGCAAUAACCGCCCAACCCGCACGUCUUGUCCUGCCUGCACGUCAAGUACACAGCUCUGUGUACGUGGAUCCGCGCCCUGCACGCGUAUCCACGUACACAGAGCUGUGUACUUGCCCCGCAACCGCACGACGGAACCGGCACCUUCGACAGCACAAUUUAAUCAUCUGCAGCAUGAGCAUGAUAAUAUUUUAAGAGUAAUUAAUUAAUUUAUGAACUAAUAAUUCUGUUUUAAGAUCAGGUUGAGUACGAGAAACAUUGUUUAUUUAACUUGGGACAAGAAAAACAGUAACUUGGCAGUAAGAAUGCAUACAUAAAGCCUGUAAGCUCCAUACUUGACGUACCAUUCCCUACAAGUGUUUCUCUUGCCUCCAUAUUUCGCUUACCCCAUCUGACCUUAUUUGUAUUGAUAAAACAUACAAAUAAUAAAUAUAUAUAUACGCGAGCAAUCGCAAAAUCUACAUUUCGGGAUUUCUCGUAUCGUACAGUGCCGUUUAAAUAAAAUAACACCACCAACUACCCAUAAGAGGGUUAUUAUGAAACUUAUAAUUAACAUGCAUUUUAUUGAAAGGCUGGAAUUUUAUUUAUCUUGAAAUCUUGACCAUGGUCAUAUGUUUGACUGGACGGUACACGGCAAUGUUAUUAUUACUAAUAUAUUUCAUAACACUAGACUUAUUCAAUCCUAAGUAACCUAUUAGCUUCUCAUUCGUGUGCGGUAUAUAUCAGCGUUUGGUAGUAUCAUAAUAGUCAAAUCUGGUGUUGGUUGUUGUUAAUAGUUAAAUGUUCAUAAAAUUUGACAACUUAUUAUAGUUAUAUUUUGUGUGAGUCAGUUAUCAUAACAGAAAUAAGAUAUAAAGCUGUUAAUACCGUAAAUUGUGUAUGGAUAUGUUUGACUCAAAUUCUGUAUUCCCACAAUAAG